rnacentral:rRNA from 1 species
AAACUACGGAUUAGAUACCCUAUUAUUCUAAUCGUUAAAACAAAACCAGAGUAGUAUUAGAUAUGUUCUUAAAACUCAAAGAAUUUGGCGGUGUUUUAGUCCUUUCAGAGGAACCUGUCCCGUAAUCGAUAACCCCCGUUUUACUUGACUUAAUUUUGUAGUCAGCUUGUAUACCGCCGUCAUAAGAUUAUCUCUAGAGAAGAUGUUCAAGAUUCUAAAAUAAGAAAUAUGUCAGGUCAAGGUGCAGUUUAUAAUUAAGUGGUGAUGGGUUACAAUAUAGAAAAAAUAAAUGGAUUUAAUUUUGUAAUAGAUUAUUAAAAGUGGAUUUGAAUGUAAUAAAAUAAAGAAUAGUUUUUUGAUAAAGGCUCUAAAACAUGCACACAUCGCCCGUCGCUCUUAAAA